ACACGAGGUUUGACGCUAUCGGUCAAGAUCAUUACGAUCGUAUGUCUGCGUAUGUUGAAAAGCGUGAUGCUUCUACUGCUUCUACUGUAUCCCGAUCUUCAAGACAAACUAUUUGUGCUUCAUCCUGACCAUGAAAGUGAACAGCGUAGGAUGCUUAUCCGAAUUUUACAAUGUGGCCGUUCAGACUAUUAUCAACGAGCUGCUACGGGUUACUUGGCUAUUUGCUUUUGUUUUGACGAAGAAGUCAAUAGACUUUUAAAAGAUUUUUUCCAGUAUGUAUUUUUAUAAUUCUUUAUCCUUUGCACAUUGAUACAGUAGAACAGUCAGUAAGAUUGAUUUUUUUAUUUCAGAGUGGCCGUUAAUAGUUUCUUCAAUUAAAAUGUUUUAUUCAAUAAAAUUUAUUUAAGAAUA